rnacentral:rRNA from 1 species
AGCGAACGCUGGCGGCAGGCCUAACACAUGCAAGUCGAACGGACCCUUCGGGGUUAGUGGCGGACGGGUGAGUAACACGUGGGAACGUGCCUUUAGGUUCGGAAUAGCUCCUGGAAACGGGUGGUAAUGCCGAAUGUGCCCUUCGGGGGAAAGAUUUAUCGCCUUUAGAGCGGCCCGCGUCUGAUUGGCUAGUUGGUGAGGUAAUGGCUCACCAAGGCGACGAUCAGUAGCUGGUCUGAGAGGAUGACCAGCCACAUUGGGACUGAGACACGGCCCAAACCCCUACGGGAGGCAGCAGUGGGGAAUCUUGCGCAAUGGGCGAAAGCCUGACGCAGCCAUGCCGCGUGGAUGAUGAAGGUCUUAGGAUUGUAAAAUCCUUUCACCGGUGAAGAUAAUGACUGUAGCCGGAGAAGAAGCCCCGGCUAACUUCGUGCCAGCCGCCGCCGUAACAC